CUGCAACUGCGGCUGCGUCCCUCUCCCUCUGCACUGCCCUCAAUUAUCUGUGUGAGAGAGAGUGGAGGGCAGGCCAAAUAAAGCCAUAGGUGCUGCUGGGAGAGGAGUGCGUGUUAGCAUGCUAUAAAUACUUGAUGCAUCUGGAGUUUCAGGGUUGGCUACUGUCUGGGUCUCAGCAGACCAGAUCACAGGCUCUAUGUUGAUCUAGUGAUUUAUAGAAUUAUUGAUUUAUUGGACUGGGACAGGGAUUGGACCAUCCUGGAGGUGACAGGCCAUCAUGCCUAGGAUAGACGUGGAUGUGAAGCUGGACUUUAAAGAUGUCCUGUUCAGACCCAAGAGAAGCAGCCUGAAGAGCAGGUCAGAGCAAACUCUCUUCACCGCCAUGCAGAAGCACUACACUGUGGAGCAGUGGAAGGCUUUUGCAGCCAAGUUUCCAGAAUGUUUGGAGCACAUAGCGGUCAGCUCAGGCAGCGGUCAAGCCGACCUGGAGAAGCUGUGCAGCGUCCUGAAGGCCGUCUCUGACAUCAGAUUCAUCUGUCUGGACGUGGCCAACGGCUACUCUGAACACUUUGUGGAGUUUGUCAAAACCGUCAGGGGGAGGUUUCCCCAACACACUAUCAUGGUGAGGCCGUUCCAUCAAGUUAACACAGCUGAACAGCUUUUGAAGACUUCAUUUGCUUAUGUCGUUUUAAUUACUGUAAAUAUUCUUACAUGUGCAAUGUGAUGUGCCAUGCAAUGUUAAACUAUCACCUGUUUGGUAGUUAGUUGGUUUGGUAGCUGUAUAGGUAUUCUAAAUGCUAUGACUAUGUCUGCCUGUCCGUCUGUCCGUCUGUCCGUCUGUCCGUCUGUCCGUCUGUCCGUCUGUGUGUCUCUAACUGUGGUCAGGCUGGCAACGUGGUGACAGGAGAGAUGGUGGAGGAGCUGAUCCUGGCAGGAGCUGACAUCAUUAAAGUGGGUAUUGGGCCAGGUGGGUCUGUUACUCUGGUACACUGUUACUCUGUCUGUUACUCUGGUGCUCCGUCUGUUACUCUGUCGGUUACUCUGUCGGUUACUCUGCCUGUUACUCUCUGUUGCUCUGUUACCCUGUCUGUUGCUCUGUCUGUUACUCUAUGGUACCCUCUAUGUUACUCUGUUACUCUGUCUGUUACUCUGUUACUCUGUCUGUUACUCUCUGUUACUCUGUCAGCCACUCUGUCUGUUACUCUGUUACUGUCUGUUACUCUGGGACUUUGUCUGUUGCUCUCUGUUACCCGGUUAUUCUGUCAGUUGCUCUGUCUGUUACUUUGUCAGUUGCUCUGGGUGUUACUCUGCUACUUUGUUACUGUCUGUUACUCUAUUACUAUGUAUGUUACUCUCUGUUACUCUGUCAGUUACUCUGUCUGUUACUCUGUUACUCUGUCUGGUGCUCUAUUACUAUGUAUGUUACUCUCUGUUACUCUGUCAGUUACUCUGUCUGUUACUCUAUUACUAUGUAUGUUACUCUCUGUUACUCUGUCAGUUACUCUGUCUGUUACUCUGUUACUCUGUCGGUUACUCUCUUACUCUGUCUGGUACUCUGUUUGUUACUCUCUGUUACUCUGUCGGUUACUCUGUCGGUUACUCUCUUACUCUGCCUGUUACUCUGUUUGUUACUCUCUGUUACUCUGUCGGUUACUCUGUCGGUUACUCUCUUACUCUGUCUGUUACUCUGUUUGUUACUCUCUGUUACUCUGUCGGUUACUCUGUCGGUUACUCAGUUAUUCUGUCAGGUACUCUGUCUGUUACUCUGCUACUGUGUCUGUUACUCUGUUAAUCUGUCUGGUACUCUGUCUGUUACUCUGUUACUGUGUAUGUUACUCUGGUACUCCAUCGGUUACUCUCUGUUACUCUGUUGGUUACUCUGUCUGUUACUCUCUGCUACUCUGUUACACUGUUACUAUGUCUGGUACUCUAUCACUCCGUCUGUUACUCUCUGUUACUCUGCCGGUUACUCUGUCUGUUACUCUGUUACUCUGUCUGCUACUCUGGUACUCCGUCUGUUACUCUGUUACUCUGUCUGUUACUCUGGUACUCUGUUACUCUGUCUGUUACUCUGGUACUCCAUCGGUUACUCUGUCUGUUACUAUGUUACUCUGUUACUCUGUCUGUUGCUCCGGUACUCUGUUACUCUAUUACUCCGUCUGUUACUCUGUCGGUUAGUCUGUUACUCUGUCUGUUGCUCUGUUGGUUACUCUGUUACUCUGUUGGUUACUAUGUUACUCUGUAUGUUACUCUGUCACUCUGUAUGUUACUCUGUAUGUUACUCUGUCUGUUACUCUGUCUAUUACUCUGUUAUUCUGUCUGUUGAUCUGUCGGUUACUCUGUUACUCUGUCUGUUACUCUGUCUGUUACUCUGUUACUCUGUUACUAUGUAUGUUACUCAGUUGGUUACUCUGUUACUCUGUCUGUUACUCUGUCUGUUACUCUGUUACUCUGGUACUCUGGUACUCUGUCUGUUACUCAGUUGGUUACUCUGUCUGUUACUCUGUCUGUCACUCCGGUACUCUGUUACUCUGUCUGUUACUCUGUUACUCUGUCUGUUAUUCUGUUACUUUGUCUGUUACUCUGUUACUUUGUCUGUUACUCUGUUACUCUGUCAGUUACUCUGUCGGUUACUCUGUUACCAUGUCUGUUAUACGGUCUGUUAUAAGGUCUGUUACCCUGUCUGUUAUUCUGUUACUCUGUCUGAUACUCUGUCUGUUACUCCGUUACUCUGUCGGUUACUCUGUUGGUUACUCUGUCUGUUACUCUGUCUGUUACCCUGUCUGUUAUUCUGUCUAUUACCCUGUCUGUUGCACUGGCUGUUACCCUGCCUGUUACUCUGUCUGUUACUCUGUCUGUUGUUCUGUUACUUUAUAUGUUACUCUGUUACUCUGUCUGUUAAUCUGUCUGUUACUCUGAUACUCUGUUGGUUACUCCGUUGGUUACUCUGUCUGUUACUCUGUUACCCUGUCUGUUACCCUGUCUGUUACCCUGUCUGUUACCCUGUCUGUUACACUGUCUGUUACACGGUCUGUUACUCUGUCUGUUACUCUGUCUGUUACUCUGUUACCCUGUCUGUUAUACUGUUUGUUACACUGUCUGUUACACUGUCUGUUACACUGUCUGUUGCCCUGUCUGUUACUCUGUCUGUUACUCCGUCUGUUACUCUAGCACCCUCUUCCCUACAUAGUGCACUAUAAGUAGAGCACUAUAUGGAGUCAUGAGUUCACCAGGGCUCCCUUCAAGAGAGAAAAAUACUUCAGCUGAGUGCAUUCAGCUCCUGACAAACUGACACGUCAUGAUUCCCCUCUAGGUUCUGUGUGUACGACGCGUAUUAAGACGGGAGUGGGAUACCCCCAGCUCAGUGCUGUCAUAGAGUGUGCAGACUCCGCCCACGGCCUGAAGGGUCACAUCAUCUCAGUGAGUGACCUCUGACCUCAAGAACCUUCUGACAUUCUGACCUCUUGGGUCAGAUUCAGGAGGGUGCAACGCACCUGCACAAUACAUGUAUCUACACAACAUUUCUAUCUGAACAAACCCAGGGGUUAAAGGUGCUGGAGCUCGGGUUCCGCCUAGCUUUCCCUUUGAGAGAUUAAACCACUGAACGUUCCACAAUGUUUGCUCAAUAUGUUUUGUUUUAUCGCACCAGGAUGGCGGAUGCAGCUGUCCUGGCGAUGUGGCUAAGGCAUUUGGUGAGUCCUGGUUUGAUAAAUCAUACUAUCAUAGUGACAUUGCGUAUGUGUUCUAUUCUCUAUAGGGCCCGGGUCAAAGUAGUGCACUAUAUUGGUAAUAGGAUGCAUUUGUUGUGUCCCUCAAAGAUGCUGCCUUGCCUAACUCUCUCUCAACAGGGUUGUGUGUGUGUGAUUCUAGGCGCUGGAGCUGAUUUUGUGAUGCUGGGGGGCAUGCUGGCUGGCCACGACCAGUGUGCCGGGGAGGUCAUUGAGAGGAAUGGCAGAAAGGUCAAGCUGUUCUAUGGGAUGAGCUCUGACACGGCCAUGAAGAAACAUGUAGGGGGAGUGGCAGAGUACAGAGCGUCAGAGGGCAGGACGGUGGAGGUACCGUACAGGGGGGAUGUAGAGGCCACCAUCAGGGACAUUCUGGGUGGUCUGCGCUCCACCUGCACCUACGUAGGAGCUGCCAAACUGAAGGAGCUCAGUCGCAGGACCACCUUUAUCAGAGUCACACAGCAGGCCAGCCACAUGUUCACAUAGUAGUAAAUAGACGGAGGGACGGACAGACAGACAGCCAUGAUCUUUCUUGUGGCUGUUUAGAACUUCACAUCCUAAUGCCUGAUUUCAAUUGUGCUGAUUUAAUUUAAAAUGUAAAAGUUUGAAUCUACAACAAUAUUUAUGUAAAUGCAUGUGUUACUUUCCCUGUACACAGUAGACAGAAAGAGGAGAAACAGAGAAAUACCAACCUGGACUCAGGGGUAGACAUAGUAAACUUAUAUCCGUGACACUCCAAUUAGUAUGAUAUGUAACGUUUGGCAUGGUUUUCAUUUGUGGAUGUCCAUCUUUCAUUUCGUCGGAUAUGUUACGAAUUACAAUAUGUUACGAAUUUGCAAAGGUAUGAUAUGUUAUGAAUUCUAAUUUGUUGAGGCUAAGGUUAUCUAGGUGUCUAGGUGGCUAACGCUAAUGUUAGCUAGGUGGCUAAUGUUAACCAGGUUAGGGGUUAAGGUUAGGAGUUAGGUUAGGGUAUGGGUUAGCUAAUAUGCUAAGUAGUUGCAAAAAAUUGGUAAGUAGUUUCAAAGUUGCUAAUUAGCUAAAAUGAUAAAAUUGUCUGUGAUGUUAUUCAAACUCACAGCCUUUGGGUUGCUUGAUGUUCAUGUUUUACACCUACCCAUCCACCCUGUCCAAACAUCCUACUUUUGUUUUUUGCCUUAAGUAACCUUCUGUCUUAUGUAACCAAAUGUAACAUAUCAUACUAAAUUGAAUCUUUCAGAAUUUGGAUUUACAUUUACUAUGUUACGUGUAGUCUAUGAGACCAGGCUGGAAAAACAGAGUGCUAGAGUAAGCAGCUGCUCUGUUGCUCCUCUUGAAAGAUGGAUGAAAGACAGAUGAGCCAGUUGAUAGACAGAAUUUCAGUUGACUCUGUUAUUUAUUAUUCUGAGUAUACAGAGACAAUACAUUUGUUCAUGUUCUUUUGUGUUUCUUUAAACAAAUUUGUUCAAAUCUAAAUGAAAUGUUAAAAAAAAUUACAACUGAAAUAUUUUGUCCAUAAACCUGGAAAAACUCUCCUAAGAAAGAGACCAUAGAUCAUACAGAACAGAUUGGAGUAUAUCCUACAAAUUAAACCGUAAUACCACAGUUAGAAAAGCAACUUUGAAGUCUUCUAGUCCUCUUGUUUCCUGUCUCCUGUUGUACAUAAAUGUAUCUUACAUAUGAGGUACACAAAAAAGUUAUUUCACAACCUUUCUUGGGGGUUGCGGACCAAUGCAUGAACAUUUUUUAAAUUACAGAUUGUACAAUAAUAACAAUGAUCCUAUUUUGUAUAAUAUCUACAACAAUGUUUAUAUUUUAGCACAUACAUAUCUCAGGAAAAAACAGUCAAUGGGCGGUGUCUGUUUCUCUGCCAGUUCACCUGAUUAUUGGCAAGAUGCAAACAACAGUCUAAUAAUCUCUAUUCAUUCUAUUCUCUGUCUCUCUCUCUCCCUCCUCUCUCUCCCUCCUCUCUCUCUCUCCUCUCAAUGAAUUUGAAAAUAUCCAAUUGCUUUCUUUGAUGAUAAACAGUUUUAUGAUAAUCACACACACACACACACACACACACACACACACACACAAUUCCUGAGUUCUGUAAAAUACUUUAUUUUGGCUAUAAGAAAAUAUAUAUAAUUUUAAACUGAAAGAAAAGAGAGACACCUGUGAGAAUUCAGUCUAAAGUAAGACAGGUACACAUGAGUGGGUAGUGAGGCCAGGUAGUUACAGAAUGUAGAGUAAUGUCCACAUUCAUGUGCACAGGUUCAUCUACUGCUGAACCUAUGGCACUGGUCCAUAAUCACUGAUGAUCUUGACUCUAGCUUUUUCACUUGACAGUACCAUGAUUACUCUGAUUUGCCUGAAUUAAAAGUAUGAAAAUAUACAUUUUAAUGAUUCAUGUCACGUGAAGAUACAAUGUAUUCUCAGGUGACAUAUUGCAAGUUGAGGUUUGAGUUUUACAUGGGAUGUCAUUCAUACAAAUAACUGAUGAAAGUGAAUCAGAGACAUUUUAGAGGGUCAUCGGUCUGUAAUGAUUUAACAUGGAAAAACACCAAUCUAUAAUUCAGGUAUUGCACAUACAACACAUACAACCCAAUUACAACUAAGUUAAUUGGACAGGUUCACUAUAGCUGUAGUUCAAUGUCAGUGGCUCUCCCUCCACCACUUUACAGUGUAAAACAUUGUAAAACAACGUCCAGAAGAACCACUGUAAAACGUUGUAUAACGUCCAGAAGAACCACUGUAAAACGUUGUAUAACGUCCAGAAGAACCACUGUAAAAUGUUGUAUAACGUCCAGAAGAACCACUGUAAAACGUUGUAUAACAUCCAGAAGAACCACUGUAAAACGUUGUAUAACGUCCAGAAGAACCACUGUAAAACGUUGUAUAACGUCCAGAAGAACCACUGUAAAACGUUGUAUAACAUCCAGAAGAACCACUGUAAAACGUUGUAUAACGUCCAGAAGAACCACUGUAAAACGUAGUAUAACGUCCAGAAGAACCACAGAAAGCCCCCGAUAAAAGGUGAAGUAGAACUCACUGCAGGAGAAGCUAUCAUGUAACUUACUACAGUAUGAAGCUAUCAGGUAACUUACUACAGUAUGAAGCUAUCAGGUAUGUAGCUGUCAGGUAGGUUACAACACUAUGAAGCUAUCAGGUAACUUACUACAGUAUGAAGCUAUCAUGUUUGACGCUAUUGGGUAACUUACUACAGUAUGAAGCUAUCAGGUAACUUACUACAGUAUGAAGCUGUCAGGUAACUUACUACAGUAUGAAGCUAUCAGGUAACUUACUACAGUAUGAAGCUAUCAGGUAACUUACUACAGUAUGAAGCUAUCAGGUAUGAAGAUAUCAGGUAACUUACCACAGUAUGAAGCUAUCAGGUAACUUACAACAGUAUGAAGCUAUCGGGUAACUUACAACAGUAUGAAGCUAUCGGGUAACUUACAACAGUAUGAAGCUAUCAGGUAACUUACAACAGUAUGAAGCUAUCAGGUAACUUACAACAGUAUGAAGCUAUCAGGUAACUUACUGCAGUAUGAAGCUAUCAGGUAUGAAGAUAUCAGGUAACUUACUACAGUAUGAAGCUAUCAGGUAACUUACUACAGUAUGAAGCUAUCAGGUAUGAAGAUAUCAGGUAACUUACUACAGUAUGAAGCUAUCAGGUAACUUACUACAGUAUGAAGCUAGCAUGUAACUUACAACAGUAUAUCUAAAACAAGAAGGGAAUGAAGACAUUAAAUCACAAAGAAUGCGUCCCAAACGGCACCCUCUUAGCUUUAUAGUGCACUACAACUGACCAGAGCCCAAAGUUAGGGCACUAUAUAGGAAAUGGGUGCCAUUUGGGACACAACCUGGCUAUCAAAGAUACUACUAACCCUGUCCUGUAGACAUUGGUUGAUGUUCAAAUCAAUAUGAUUACUCUUUAAAUUCACUUUGUGGAAUAUGGCCAAUAACAAAAUUAUACGCACCCAUAUUUCUGUAAACCGAAAUGAUUGAAACAUACAAUGCCUUCGGAAAGUGUUCAGACCCCUUGACUUUUUCCACAUUUUGUUACGUUACAGCCUUAUUCUAAAAUGUAUUCAAUAGUUUUUUCCCCCUCAUCAAUCUACACACAACACGCC
rnacentral:lncRNA from 1 species